rnacentral:rRNA from 1 species
AGUGAACGCUGGCGGUAGGCCUAACACAUGCAAGUCGAACGGCAGCACAGUAAGAGCUUGCUCUUACGGGUGGCGAGUGGCGGACGGGUGAGGAAUACAUCGGAAUCUACUUUUUCGUGGGGGAUAACGUAGGGAAACUUACGCUAAUACCGCAUACGACCUACGGGUGAAAGCAGGGGAUCUUCGGACCUUGCGCGAUUGAAUGAGCCGAUGUCGGAUUAGCUAGUUGGCGGGGUAAAGGCCCACCAAGGCGACGAUCCGUAGCUGGUCUGAGAGGAUGAUCAGCCACACUGGAACUGAGAACGGGUCCAGACUCCAACGGGGGGAAGGAGUGGGGAAUUUUGGAAAAGGGGGGAAAGCCUGAUCCAGCCAUACCGGGGGGGGGAAGAAGGCCUUCGGGUUGUAAAGCCCUUUUGUUGGGAAAAAAAAGCAGCAGGUUAAUACCCCGCUGUUCUGACGGUACCCAAAAAAUAAGCACCGGCUAACUUCGU